UGACAAAGUGAGCAGACUCCACCUUGGAGGGGUGUGUGGGGAAGGGACAGUACCAGUGGUGUUGCUGCUGGAUACCAUCCAGGGUGUGCCCAAGCAAUGGGACCCUGUGGCAGGAAAGAGUAGGAAAAGAGGCUGUGGUCAUGCCUGUAUGAUGAGACCUUCAUGAACACCCCUCAACAAUCCGUCGGGGAGCUUCCACCUUCACCUGCCAGGAGGGUGCCGUACCCCAACUCCAGGGAGAGAGAGGCUCCUGGACUCAGCCCCCUUUCAGACUCACUUUAGGUACCCUUCAUCUGUCUCUUCAUUUGUGUCCUUCAUAAUAAACCACAGUAGUGUCCAUCCAGCCUCAUCUGCCCUACAUCAACACCUGAAGUCAUGCAGCUGGGGAGUCCUGGGCAGCUUUUCAGGGUCCCGACUGGGACGUCCCGAACAGAGCAUUCUCUCCACAGCACCAGCCUAAUCUUCUCCUGGGAACCCCUCAUUUGCUGUAUCCAACAAUCCUAGAGGACUGUGCUGCCAUCAUCAGGGACGUGGGAAGGUGCUUCUGUACUGUCCACAUAGAUGCACACGCUGUCGGGAGGCCGAGAAGAAAACAUUGUCAGCAAGCACAACGUGGAGUCAGGUACAUUUACACAGUUUGGAUCCAAAGCAGAAAGCCUGUUGGAAGGUAGAGGAGUCACCCAUAGUGGAAGCCAGAGUGAAGUGGCUUAAGAGAGCAGGAUUGGAGGCAAACUUCUUGGGCUGCAUCCCAGUUCUGUCAAACAGCACACUGUUUGACUUCAGGCAAGGUAAUAGAUCUCUCUGCAUCUGUGUUCUCAGCCACAAAAUGAAGACAUCAUUUUGAGCAUUUAGAACAAUCCCUGGUUCAAUGGUGCACAGGUUUAAUAAGUUUUUGUGAAUUUUAUCAAUGAAGUUUUCUUAUAGUUUUGCUCAAGACUUUUUUUGGGUGCAAGGAAUAAAACAUUGACAGCAUGAGUUGAAAGGAGGGGGCAAUGGGACAGGGUGCAGUCUUAAGUAGAGAGUGCAUUAAUGAAUCCAUUGCUGCAUACAAACUAUCCAAAAUUUAGAGAUUUAAAACUACCACCACUGAUUUGCUCAUGAUUUUCUGGGUAUGCAUUUCGGGUUGGGUUCACCGGGCAGCUCUUCUGUGGUCCCUUUCUGGGGUCACUCACAUGGCUGCUUGGCUGGGGCUGGGGGGUACCAGGUGGCCUCAUGCAUGUGACUGGGGGUUGAAGUUGGGUGGCUACCAGCGGGGCCCUCAGCCAGUACCCCAUCCAACUCCAGAGGCAGGAGAUUGAGGCUUCACACAGCAGCAGGAUUCUCAGAACGUUGUGUGAGGGCAGAAGCUGCAAAGCCCUUGAGGUCCAUGGACAGAAACUACCCAAGAUGACUCUGCCACAUUCCACCCAUCAAAGCUAGUCACCAAGCUAGCCCAGAUUCAAGCAGUGGGAAACAGACACCUCCUCUGGCAGCAGGAUGUUAUCAGUCAGCCCAGGCUGCCAUAACAAAAUGCCACUAACUGAGUGGCUUACACCACAGAAAUUCAUUUCUAACAGUU